rnacentral:rRNA from 1 species
UUCCGUAGGUGAACCUGCGGAAGGAUCAUUAUUGAAAUAAACUUGGUGUGGGUUGCAGCUGGCCUUUGGGCAUGUGCUCACCUUCAUCAUCUUUAUAUUUCCACCUGUGCACCUUUUGUAGACAGGAAAGACAAGGGAAUUUAUUGUGGUGCCAUUUUAGGCCCCCAUUUAUUUCUUGUGUAUUCCUUGUCUAUGUUUUUAUAUACCCCAAAAAUGUAACAGAAUGUUAAUCUAUGGGCCUUUGUGCUUAUAAACAAAAAUUAUACAACUUUCAGCAACGGAUCUCUUGGCUCUCGCAUCGAUGAAGAACGCAGCGAAAUGCGAUAAGUAAUGUGAAUUGCAGAAUUCAGUGAAUCAUCGAAUCUUUGAACGCACCUUGCGCUCCUUGGUAUUCCGAGGAGCAUGCCUGUUUGAGUGUCAUUAAAUUAUCAAAAAAAGAUCUUCAAUGCUCUUGUUUUGGAUGUGAGGGUUUUUGUUGGCGAAAGUCGACUCCCUUGAAAUGUAUUAGCUUGGUUGACUAGACUUUGUCUAUUGGUGUGAUAAUUAUCUACGCCAUUGGAUUGUCUGCUUGUCAAACUGCUUCUAAUUGUCCCUUUAGGGACUCUAUUAAAUGACCAUUUGACCUCAAAUCAGGUAGGACUACCCGCUGAACUUAAGCAUAUCA